ACAGCGUGUAGCCUCGCAAUGGCGUUUAAGUGGUUGAAAAAACUGAUCUUAAGAAAACAGUCCCGCAGAAAGCAGGAGAUACAGCGAAUACGGGAGGAGCUGCAGCGGACAGAGGAGGACUUACAGCAGAUACAGGAGGAGAUUUUUCAGAACCGGGAGAAACCAGAGGAAAUGCAGCGGAAAAAGAAGGAGAUGCAGCAAAAAAAGAUAGAUAGGCUUGUGAAACAGCAGGUGUUGCAGAUUCUGGAAUAUAAAGCGAUGGUGCCAUGUAAGACGUGCAGCAGAAAGAGAAGUAGAUGGAGCUGCAGAAAGUGAAGGAGAUGCAGCUGCAGAAAGAGAGGGAUAUGCAGCAGAAAGAGAAGAAGAUGGAGCAGACAGAGAAGGAAAUACAGCAGAAAGUGAAGGAGAUGCAGCAGAAAAUUAAGGAGAUGCAGCAGAAAGAGAGGAAGAUGCAGAAGAAAGAGAAGGAGAUGGAGCUUUAGAAAGAGAAGGAGAUGGAGCUUUAGAAAGAGAAGGAGAUGGAGCUUUAGAAAGAGAAGGAGAUGGAGCUUUAGAAAGAGAAGGAGAUGCAGCUGCAGAAAGAGAGAAUGGAGCUGUUCCAUUUGUUCAUAAAUUGACAAUUGCAGACAGGGAGGGAAGAUAUGUGAUUGUUCAGGGGGAGUUGUACAAAUUACCAAAUUCCAAAUGUGGACUUCUUUUUUAAGCAUGUCCUCAAUCAGAUCCCAGAUAUUUCACAGUCCAAUUUAAUUAUUGGGGGUGAUUUAAAUACUGUGUUAACAUACAUCUGUAUCGUUCAUCAUCCAGUAAAAUUACACCAUCAAGCUCAAGUUUACUUCUAAAAGAAUUUAUGAAAAACUCUAAUUUGGUUGAUGUUUGGAGAGUUUUUAACCCUUCCACUGCAGCGUUCAUAAUGUAUAUUCUCAAAUUGAUUAUUCCCACUAAACAUUAGACGUCUUAUGGACGUGCAGAUCAUGUCUAUAUUGCGUUGGUCGGUCCAAGACCAAUUCUGUACGUCUACACGACGUACAAACUAGGUCCACUAUUUGGACGUCUAACUAUGACCCCACUUGGACGUCAAUAUGCAGUUAAACAUUUGAACGUCGGACUAGGUCACUUUUUUGGAGGUCAUGGGGACGUCUAAUACAGGUGCAGGAAAUUAACGUUAUUUAAGAAUAUAUUUAUUUUUAAAUGUAUGUCAACAUUGUUAAUCACUAUGAAUAUAGAUUAUUUAUGAUUAAGCAUAAUUUAUUUCUAAUUAUUUAUUUUAGUAUUAUAUUUUUUAUCUAUUUAAUUAAUUAACGAAUGUAGGUAUUUAUUUACGUAUGUUCUUAUUUUUAUUUGGAAAUGCAAUUUAUGUGGAAAAUUGUUAAGUUGAUUUCAACCAGUCAAUGCCACUCUGAUUUGCUGAGACCGCACGUCAUCAUAAACUCCACUCUGAUAUGCCGAGGCAAAACACGCUCAACAUUUUUUGGCUGCUGCAGUAGCUCAGCUCAGCUCAGCUCAGUUCAGUUCAGCUCGCUCAGCUCAGCUCCGCUCCGGACCGGACUCAGCUGCCACUAAGCUAUAAGGUAAGACGAUAUGUAUAAGUUAAUGUAUUUGUAGUGUUAGUUGUUUUAGCUCUGUGGUCUUAAAUCAUCUGAACCUGCUGGUGUUGCCUCUCUUCCCAGGCAGUUAGCUAACUAGCUAGCUAGCUAACGAUAGCUAAACAGUGGCCAUAGUUAAAAUGGAAUUGGAAUUACUUUUGAGAACGACCGUAUUGCCAAUAAUAUUUACUGUAACCGAAGCUAGAAGCAUUGUCCGGUCAUUAAGUCAAUGCACUAACCAGAGCUAGGCUGAUAAGCCAAUCUAAGCUAAAUCAAAGAACCUUCUUUGGCUAAAUUCGCUAAGCUAGCGUUAAGUUAUAUAAGUUUGUGGCGCCCACAAUUAACCUAGGCAACUGGGGGCAAUAUCAAGUGCAUUUUGAAUAGCGUGAAGAAGUAAGUUUAUGUUAAUAUUACAUAAAUAAGGCAAUUUAAAAUAGUUUGUUGUGGGGAAAAAAUUAUUAAAAUAGCUUAAUAUGAUGUGUGAGAAUUAAAACUGCGAUAAUUCUCGUCAGGUGUUAAAUGUGUAUUCCCGCCUUUAGCUUAACGUUAGCUUAGCGUUAGCUUAGUGUUAGCUAAGCCAUAGCAUGAAGAAGUAAGUUUAUGUUAAUAUUACAUAAAUAAGGCAAUUUAAAAUAGUUUGUUGUGGGACAAAAAUAAAUUAAAUAGCUUAAUAUGAUGUGUGAGAAUUAAAACGGCAGGAUAAUUCUCGUCAGGUGUUAAAUGUGUAUUCCCGCCGUUAGCUUAGCGUUAGCUAAGCCAUAGUGUGAAGAAGUAAGUUUAUGUGAAUAUUACAUAAAUAAGGCAAUUUAAAAUAUAGUUUGUUGUGGGACAAAAAUAAAUUAAAAUAGCUUAAUAUGAUGUGUGAGAAUUAAAACGGCGAUAAUUCUCGUCAGGUGUUAAAUGUGUAUUCCCGCCGUUAGCUUAGCGUUAGCUAAGCCAUAGUGUGAAGAAGUAAGUUUAUGUGAAUAUUACAUAAAUAAGGCAAUUUAAAAUAUAGUUUGUUGUGGGACAAAAAUAAAUUAAAAUAGCUUAAUAUGAUGUGUGAGAAUUAAAACGGCGAUAAUUCUCGUCAGGUGUUAAAUGUGUAUUCCCGCCGUUAGCUUAGCGUUAGCUAGCUUAGCUGAGAUUUCUAAUUUGCCUGUGAUGGGACAGCCACCGAGGACUUCAUACAGAUGUGUACUUCGGAGCAUUUCAAACAUGCACCACAAAGACGUGGAGGACACACCGCUGUCUCUCAGGACCUAGAAUCUUAAUGAAAGUAUAAUGAUGUUAAGGGAAGGUGUAAUGGAAAGGUGUAAUGUAAAGUUGUAAUGGUGUUAAGGGAAGGUGUAGUGGAAAGGUGUGAUAGUGUUGAGGGAAGGUGUAAUAGUGUUGAGGGAAGGUGUAAUAGUGUUGAGGGAAUGUGUAAUAGUGUUGAGGGAAGGGGUAAUAGUGUUGAGGGAAGGUGUAAUAGUGUUGAGGGAAGGGGUAAUGUUAAAGGUGUAAUAGUGUUAAGGGAAGGUAUAAUAUUGUUAAGGGAAGGUGUAAUGUAAAGGUGUAAUAGUUUUGAGGGAAGGUGUAAUAGUGUUGAGGGAAGGUAUAAUGUAAAGGUGUAAUAGUUUAAAGGGAAGGUAUAAUAUUGUUAAGGGAAGGUGUAAUGUUAAAGGUGUAAUAGUGUUGAUGGAAGGUAUAAUGUAAAGGUGUAAUAGUUUAAAGGGAAGGUAUAAUAUUGUUAAGGGAAGGUGUAAUGGUGUAAUAGUUUUGAGGGAAGGUGUAAUGUUAAAGGUGUAAUAGUUUUGAGGGAAGGUGUAAUAGUGUUGAUGGAAGGUAUAAUGUAAAGGUGUAAUAGUUUAAAGGGAAGGUAUAAUAUUGUUAAGGGAAGGUGUAAUGUUAAAGGUGUAAUAGUGUUGAUGGAAGGUGUAAUGUUAAAGGUGUAAUAGUGUUGAGGGAAGGUAUAAUAUUGUUAAGGGAAGGUGUAAUGUAAAGCUGUAAUAGUUUUAAGGGAAGGUAAAUGUUUAGUGAAAUUGUUAUGGUGUGAAUCUAAGGUGUAUGUUAUGUUGAUGUAAAAUAAAGGCAUAAACCCCAAAUGAGAUUUACUCAUUAUUUUUAUUAUUAUAUUAAUGUUUCCCCAAACAGAAAGGGUCAAUUUAAAAUCAACAGUGGUAAGAUGGGGGUAAUUAAUUUAUUCCUUGCUUUUACUAGUUCUUUGCAGGUUGGCAUGUUUUGGAAAAAGUGAGAGGGUUGAAAUGCAAUUUAUUUGUAAAGCAUAUUGUGUAUAACUAACGUGCAUAACUAGUUCCAGAAGGUUGUGAACCUUAUUGUUUGGCUUAGCUUUGUAUGCGUUUCCAGUUAUCUGCUGAAGCUGGAACAAUGGAACAGUUGCCACCGUCUGAAAUGGCACUACAGUUAUGCAGGGAGCCUCAAAGUAGUUGGUCUAUAAAACGUAUACAUGUAAAUUUCACGUAGAAAAGACGUCCACAACGACUUAAUUUAAACUAGAAUUAGCCCUUAUCCGGAGGUCUCGGGGACGUCAAUACUGGACGUGCAGAAGACGUCAGAAAAAAGACGUCGUCUGGCGUCACAGUCUGCACCUUCAGGAGACCAAAAUUGGACGUGC